rnacentral:rRNA from 1 species
GUAGUCCACGCUGUAAACGAUGUCGGCUAGACGCUGGGCAGCAAGCUGUUCGGUGUCGGCGCUAACGCAUUAAGCCGACCGCCUGGGGAGUACGGCCGCAAGGUUAAAACUCAAAGGAAUUGACGGGGGCCCGCACAAGCGGUGGAGCAUGUGGUUUAAUUCGAUGCAACGCGCAGAACCUUACCAGCCCUUGACAUGGGGAGUUUGGGCACCGGAGACGGUGUCCUUCAGUUCGGCUGGCUCCCACACAGGUGCUGCAUGGCUGUCGUCAGCUCGUGUCGUGAGAUGCUGGGUUAAGUCCCGCAACGAGCGCAACCCUCGCCCUUAGUUGCCAUCGGGUUAUGCCGGGCACUCUAGGGGAACUGCCGGUGACAAGCCGGAGGAAGGCGGGGAUGACGUCAAGUCCUCAUGGCCCUUAUGGGCUGGGCUACACACGUGCUACAAUGGCGGUGACAAUGGGCAGCGAUCCAGCAAUGGUGAGCUAAUCUCCAAAAGCCGUCUCAGUUCGGAUUGUUCUCUGCAACUCGAGAGCAUGAAGGUGGAAUCGCUAGUAAUCGUGGAUCAGCAUGCCACGGUGAAUA